GCGCACUAAGGUGAAAUGUGGUCAUUUAAAAAAAUUGCGCUUUUCAUGUAGCACCUGUCUGGAUGUUUGGACGACAGAAAACGUCCCAAAAACACCCAUAAUGACAUGUUUGUAUGCGCUUCGACAAGUUGAAAAAUACCACAAGAAGUGAGGCAUAUUUUGAGUUGUGUGUUUGAGACAAUCCAUCCAUCAAGGAGAGCUCAGAGUUCCAAGCCACACAUUGAUUGUCAUCCUCAUAAAGGUAUUUGUUGCUGUCGUUCUGGUAUUUCUAAAGAUAUCAACCACAAAACUGAGGGAUGCUCCGCACCAUGAAUCAGGAUUCAUCUUAAAAUGUGUUCGUCCACCACCGUCAUGAAGAUGUCAAGAGAUCACCAGUAUUAAGCUCAUAGUGAUCUGAAUAUGAUGUAUAACUCAGAAGAACCAACUGCGAGGUGGCAUAACAACUGCAUCUCCUAAGGACCCCAUGCCAUCCAUGAAGCACUACCUAAGUCAACAGUGUCAGUUUGUAAGCAAGGCCUGAAUGAACCAACCCAGGGAGAUUCAAGCUCCACUGAAUGGAGGGCUGACACCCAUUUUGCAGCCCUGGAACUAUCAACAUGUGAAGCAAUUGUUAAGAUGAUUUAAUGAACACAAGUCAUGUUUCUAGUUUAGGUUGCCUUGUAAACUGCUUGUGAAUUUAUAAAAUUUUGCCCGAAAAUGCAACAAAAUGCAGCAUAAUGCAUUGCAUUUU